rnacentral:rRNA from 1 species
CCUACGGGCGGCAGCAGUCGAGAAUCAUUCACAAUGGGGGAAACCCUGAUGGUGCGACGCCGCGUGAGGGAUGAAGGUUCUAUGGAUCGUAAACCUCUUUUAUAAGGGAAUAAAGUGCGGGACGUGUCCCGUUUUGUAUGUACCUUAUGAAUAAGGAUCGGCUAACUCCGUGCGAGCAGCCGCGGUAAUACGGAGGAUCCGAGCGUUAUCCGGGUUUCUUGGGUUUAAAGGGUGCGUAGUCGGCCUUUUAAGUCAGCGGGAAAAGGCUGUGGCUCAACCAUGGAAUUGCCGUGGAAACUGGGAGGCUUGGGUAUGUUGGAGGCAGGCGGAAGUCGUGGUGUAGCGGUGAAAUGCUUAGAUAUCACGCAGAACCCCGAUGGCGAAGGCAGCCUGCCAAGCCAUGACUGACGCUGAUGCACGAAAGCGUGGGGAUCAAACAGGAUUAGAUACCCCAGUAGUC